CCCUCACCCGUCGAGCUCGAGUCAGCAGGAGCGCACCCUCACCAAGGACAGUGGUUAGAGAGAGGUCAGGAGAUAGAGGAGAGACAUCGCCGUCAGGCUCGAAGUCUAGCGGUCACUGGAGUUCACCAAAGUCAAGCGUGGUUUGUACAGACGUGAGAGGCAGUCGGUGUGUGCAGGGUGGCACAUCGGUGUCGCGAUGCCGCAUCAAGUCGUGGGCGGGUCUGCCAGCAUCCCCACCAACGGGUGCUUGGUAAGGUGAAAGGGAAGAAAAAUGAUGAAAGAUCCUCUAGGCCCACUCGAGACAGGUCGAGUAAGCAGACCAACAGCGGCCGUCAGAUCACUCAGUUGCUCCGGCCGAGGCCACUGCGACAUAGGACGCUGCCAUUGCAGAUCACGAGGCAGAUGAUGGGACCGAUCAGACGACAGCAGAUGAGGCGGAGGCAGAUGAAGUUUCGUCGGUCUCUAACGUUGAAGCCUCGGAAGAAAUUCGAUCACUGGCAAAUAAUAAAGCAGAAGGGGACCAGGAGUUGGGAUUGGGAUCUGUUGUAGAUUCUUCCACCCGAGCAUGAUGAGUGAGGCCGGUGGGACCAUAGCGGCUACUGUCUGGAGCUAUUGGAGCCAAAAGCACUAUGGCUACGACAGUUCCCACGUAGACACCGUGUGGGAAAGCUUCUGGGAACAAUAUCACUUGCUCGAUGAUAUGAGCCUUGACGAUCAGCACAUGCGAGAGGUUUUUAACAUCACUGCCCAAAUAGUUUUGAAGGACAUGAUGUAUGAUGCACGAGUCAAGGAGGUGGUCGUCUGGCAUAAGCUCCAGAAGACAAACAUGAGUAGAGAAGCGGCUAAGAAGAUACACCAGAUAGCUGCGCAGUAUAGGGAAAGUGAGGUGGAUUGGCUGAGCCAGCACCCGGAUGCUUGUCUCAGCUUGUGCGAUUACUGGGCUUUGGACGAGUUCAGAGCUCGAUAAAAUAGAAUUGUGGCCACCAGUUGAGUAAGCCAGAUCUCCACCACUUUGGCGCUGAUGGUCACACCGGCAAGGCUAAACGCCUAACAAGUUAAAUGAUUGUCAAUUUUAUUUCUUAAACAAAUUUGUGGACAUGUAAUCUUUUAUUGCAGGCUUCUCGAAAUAACAUCAAGCGUACCAUUGUCCAGACGUACAUAGCGGGGCAUAAGGGUCCAGAUCUGGAUCACCCAGAGAUUCUUUGCGACUAGAAUACGACACAAAAGUCGCUAUAUUGAAACCAUGAGAGAGAAACAUGGACCAGACGUCGACUGGAUGAUAGCUGACUUUGACACGGUGGUAGCUUAUGCGGCUGGUGGAGAUGUGCGACAUGGGAGGUUUAGGGUCCCUGUUGUAUAUAUUAUAACACUCUGUCCAGGUUUCCUAUCGACGUCGAUGUUGUGGGCCAUCGAAGUUAUAAGUAGGCAGUCAUCCUCAUUUGUGGGGACUAGUCGACCUCGACGAUCAUCUGCACAGGACGAGGAGAUGCAACAAAUACGGCAAGAGAUGCAACAAAUGCGACAACAAAUGCAAAUGAUGCAAUCACAACAUAUGUGUAUGCGGAUGCAUCAACAGAUAAUAGCUCAACUUUAAUUUAGUUAUUUGUCAGUUUUUC